UCGACUGGCUCGUCUAACGCCAAAAUGCAAAAACCGUACCCAGCGUCCUCGAGCGACCAGAAUCUAUUGCCAGUGAAGUCCUUACGCCUUGUUUGGCGGUAGCCGCGUGGCAUCCAUACUAGUGGCGACGGUGCAAAACAGUUCAGAGUCGCACUCUGUAUUUCCCCCCCACCGUCAAGCAGGUGCCGCUCGGGGCUACUUCACGGCCACCGACACACCCUACUGGAAAACGGCGUCAACCAGUUCAACGAGCGUUUCACUGAUCUUCUACGGGAGACCGAGGUCGAUGGACCCGAAACCUUUGAGUGAAGUCGUUUCCUCAGCGCCAGUAUACAGAAAACAGUAUUCUCGGGUGCUUCCGCCCCACAUUUUUUCUUGCUAGAGCAGUCACCCUUUUCCACGGGGCCGACACAGACCAGACCUUAACUGUGGAGCAGCUUUCCCAGCACUCGACUUUGAAAGGUCUCGGGCAAGCGUGGACGCUCUCACGAACGUCGGCGAACGCGCCGGCGGGUUCGUGCGCCCGACAGCAGACGGCGAGGCGGCUGUCCGGGCCAAUUCGCUAGCCCGAUCUCCGCUCGUAGAUGCCAGCGACGCCGGCCGCGGCCGUGGGAAUGGAAGACGAGAGGAAAAGGACGAGGGAUCAUGCGUCUCCGCCUCUGAGGCGGGGCGCUGUUUCAUCGCGGAAAAACGCUGGCGGAAAAAGCGAGACUGGGCCUUGGGCCCCUCCAUCUCGUCUGCCUCCUCGGCGAGCUGUUCCUGCCUCUCCAACUCUUCCAUAACAGCCCGGAUUCCUUUCGCCCGAAUCGCAUCGGAAACCCGUUCACUCCUGGAGCCGGCACAAGUCGACCCUUGCGCCCCAUGGAAGAUCUUCCCGUCUGACUGCCGCGCAGUCGCGCUUUCAGCACUCGUGUGGUAGACAACCCUCCCCCUUCCUCCUGCGCCAAUGCUAAUCCCUCGACGAAACUGAUCGGUUCCUUUUCCUCUGCCAAGCGCCGCGCCUGGCCCUCUGGACAGUGCUGAGCUGCCAGGACACCACGCGCCGGGAACCGUUCGGCGCAGGUGUGCCGACUCCCGAAAACUCCCUUUGGAUCCGUACCACCCCGACUCGCCCCGCGACUCGUCGUCUGAACAGUCGUUCUUCUCAAACUCCAGAGUGCCACAGGCGAGCGCCCCACCCUCGUCUUCCCCGACGACCGCCGCCAUGCCUCCUCCUGGGAAGCUCCGGGCUGGCCGCGCAGCAGACGAGACGCGCGUGCACCCCCGAGAAGCGAGAGAGGCAAGGAGACGCGCGGAGGGCGCAGCAGUGGAGAGUGCCUUUCCCAGAGAACCGCGGCCGUUGGCCUUUUCUGCUUCUCUUUGCUCGCACAAAUCACAACACCGCCAGGCAUCUGCGCUGGAGAUACCCGCGGACACUGGACUCAGGUCCGAUGCUCCUUCCUCUCCAUGUGAGUGGUUCUUUCGUUCCACCUCACGCUUGCCUGCCUCGGCCUCUCUGCAGUUCAUGCACGGGGUCGCCCUCUCGCUGGGAGACACCCCGACACACAGGCCGCCUGGGGGCCGUGGAGAAGACGGACCGGACGAGGGCGUGCCUUCGGGGCUCUCGGCACUGACUAGCUGGUCUUUUCUCUCUCGCUUGACGCCCCCGGGGCAGGACGUGACGUCCUGUUCCGUUGCCUCUCUGUUUCGCUUCCUCUCUGUCCCCUGCUGCGCUUCGCCACUGCCGCGUCGACCGGAGGGACCGGGUCCGGACGAACGCCGAGGCGGGAGACUCUCCCCAAAAAAGUUCAGAAUGCGUGCGCGCCGACAGACUGUUUCUUCGCAGUACUGUCGAACUUCUUUCAGCGACUCGAGGUCUUUUCGAUAGCGUCUCUCCAUAUGCUCCAGCCUUGCCUUGUGAUCGUCGACCGUCUCGGCUGUCUCUUCGCUUUCUUCCUCCGGUUUCGCUUCUCCCCCUCGACGGUUUCCAGUCCCCUUUUGGGGGCGCGCGCGGCCCUUCGGCUCCCCCUUCGCGUACAGCUUGAGCUGAGAGAACGUGUAGUCCAUGAUGUAACGCAGGCUCUCGAAAUUCCGAGGCGAGUAAUAGAGAAGCGCGUGGGCCGGGCGCCCGUCUCGGCCGCAACGUCCCGAUUCCUGGUAGUAGCCUGUUAAAGACAAAAGGCGAAGAAAGGCGAGAUUGAGUCGAGACCGAUCCGAGGUGUUGGAUACGUGAACUAAUCACGUUGCAUAAAUACAACCAGUGAAAGCUCCUUUAAGUUCCAUGAACGGAGCCGAAAGCCAAACGCGCAAAGGGAAAAUCUCGCACCUGACAGCGCCCCACUGCGCGCCCCUCAACCUUCAGGUGUCGACAACGGGGCGUCAGCGCCUGACGUCGAGUGCGGAAAGCACGCGAGCACGGAAAGACGCGCACGCUGCGCAUGGAGGAAGAACUCUCCAACUCGAGAGGCGAAAGGCCCGCAGAGCAAGAGAGACGAAAUGGAGUUGCGUUCGCCUCUGAGAGAACACCUGACACGUGUCCGGGCAACUCGCGAGACGUGGAGGCGACGGGAAGUUGCGAGGGCCAGAGAAGAAGGCCACCGCUGCGGGGUCUUCCUAACGGCUCGGCAGAGCUCCAGAUCCCCUCCUUUCGCCUUCAUUGUCCGUGCUCUGCAGAAAAGCCUAGGCGACGGGCUCUCUUCUUUGACUUGUUUCGUUUCCCUGGUGCCUCCUCUCUUCCCGGAACACCCAUGCGCGCCCCAGUCGCGUCCCGUUUCCUUGAUUUCUUGGGGUUCGCCAGUGGGCCGCCCUUUUGCGCCUCAAAACCUCUCCCGCCUCGUCGACACUGCCUCCCGUUUCCGGCUUCCGUUCUCACCUUCCAUCGUCUUGGGCAAGGAGUGAUGGAAGACGAAACGGACGUUGGGGUUGUCCACGCCCAACCCAAACGCCACGGUGGCGACGAGCACCAGAAUCUUCCCCGUCAUCCACGCUCGCUGGAGUUCACACCUAACCUUGUCGGAAAGGCCAGCGUGGUCCAGUCUUCCUCCUCCUCGGCGGCAGUCGCUGGGUCCCCUUCUAAUGCAGCCUCCUCGUCGUCCGCUUCGACAGGUCUCGGGCCGAGUCGCCUCUUCAUUCGCACCUCGCCGGAGGGGGACGGCGAACCUGUCGAACGAAAGGCCAACUCGAACCGCGUCUCUCAACGCCAAGCUGGUUUGAAUGUCCGCACAAACUGCAGGAGUCGCCGUCGCUGUGCAGGCCAAGAGGGGAGUCUCCGGCAGAAUCGUGCGCAGGACUGAGAGGUUUCUGAAAAGCCGGGACAGGGGGCGAGACGUCGACGGAAACGAGGAUGCAGGGAAGAAGAGGGAGACGCAACCCCUCCGUCGGGGCAAGCGACAGACAGAGAAGAACGCGGAAGGCCGCGGAAAAGAGAGGAACGGAACGCCCCUCCAGUCCGUAAGCUCCGCCGGAAGUCGUGGCCCCAGGUGGAGAUGCAAUGGGCCUCGUCGACAGCGAUGAGUGCGACGCCUUGGCUUCGGUUUCCGUUCGCUUCCUCGUUUCUUCGGUUUUCCUUCGUUUCUUCGCCGAUCCCCACGCCACGCCGCCUGGCCUCCAGCUGGCCCAGCACGCGUUGAAAUGUCGGGCUCGACACUUGCUCGGGAGUGACAAACAGGAAUUUGUACUUUCCGCGCGAAACAGACGAAGCGAGGCACGAAAGAGAGGAACGCGAGGCGCCGCCAGAGAAGGGAGACGACUGAGAAAGAGAAGAAAGAGAAGACGGAGGGGCGAGAUUCGCACAGGGUGGGAAGCAGCUGAGGGGAAGUUCUCGAAGAAUCGUUUCUCGUUGCGAAGACGAGAGAAGCGAAUUGAAAGCCACAGCCGGCAGGUGUCUCUCUUGAAGACGGCGAACCUACGAGAGAAGACACACAAACGAAGCGAGACCGCAAGCACCUGUCGUGUUCGGCGCCACGAAAAAGAGACAGCGGCGUCAAGCUUAAGGGACAUUUGAAGCGAAAACGAGCAGCCGACGGGCAUGGGCAACGCGCUCGCCUUUCUCUCACCUGGUCAUCCAUCAGAGCCAGAAGAGGCGAGACGAUGAUAACGAGACCGGGAAGCAAAAGGCCGGGAAGAAGGUAAGUCAGACUUUUUCCGCCUCCUGAAAAAAUUCAUUCCGAGAAGAGAAUCGCUUACGUGUAGAGAACCGAGACAGAGACAUCGAAAACGAGACAUGCCCACAAAGAACGGCCACGCCCAGCGACAGAGGGACACAGAUCGGAAGUGAAGAUGCAAACGACUCGUGAACGAUUCGCUUCAUAUCGGCUAAGGUCUUGCUACAGAUAUCCACAUGCAGAUGUCUAUGGAAAUGCGCAUGCUACGUGGUCUUUCUGUCUCCUGUAGAAGAACACAUACACAUGCAUGGCGACGAGAUUAACUCGUGUAUGUACAUACACUGGUUGACGUCUAUCGUGUCAUAUAC
rnacentral:lncRNA from 1 species